rnacentral:misc_RNA from 1 species
GCUCCGUUGGUGAACCAGCGAAGGGAUCAUUACCGAGUUUACAACUCCCAAACCCCUAUGUGAACGUUACCAAACUGUUGCCUCGGCGGGAAAUUCAUGCCCCGGGCGCGUCGCAGCCCCGGACCAAGGCGCCCGCCGGAGGACCAACCAAAACUCUUUUGUAUGUCCCUCGCGGACUUUUAUAAUUCUGAACCAUCUCGGCGCCCCUAGCGGGCGUUUCGAAAAUGAAUCAAAACUUUCAACAACGGAUCUCUUGGUUCUG